rnacentral:lncRNA from 1 species
GCUUCUUCUCUCAACAAAAUCAUGACUUGGAGAAUGAGCUAGAAGCCAAGUAUGUGCUAACCGAUGCAUCGAUCUGUACAAUUGCUUAAGAACCAUCCGAUGAGUGUGACACCUUUCUUGCAUGCCAUGCUUGAUCCAGUUUUGACAAAUCCAUGGAAUCAAUUUUCUACUUGGUUCAAAAAUGGUGACCCUACACCAUUUGAAACGGCACAUGGGAAGAUGUUUUGGGAUUAUGCUGGCGCUGAUCCGAAACUUAAUCACUUGUUCAAUGAUGCCAUGGCAAGUGAUGCUCGAUUUGUCACUAGUUUGGUGAUUGAGAAAUGUAAGGGAGUGUUCAUGGGAUUGGAGUCAUUGGUUGAUGUUGGGGGAGGCACAGGGACCAUGGCAAAAGCCAUUGCUUAAUCAUUCCCUCGGGUGGAAUGCAUUGUGUUUGAUCUACCACAUGUUGUUUCUGGCUUGAAAGGAAGUGAGAACCUUAAAUAUGUUGCAGGGGACAUGUUUGAGGCAAUUCCUCCAGCUGAUGCCAUUUUGUUAAAGGUAAAUCACUAUUCACAUUCAGAAUACAAUUUUACAUUCAUACCAUUAACACCCAGUUUUUAUACUUGAGUGAUGCCAAAUUUUAAAGAAUUAAAGCAAAUAAUUGAUCGAUUGGAAAAAAAAAAUGAACGAUUUUAUCAUCAUUGAUCACUUGAAAUAACUUCAAAUUUUUAUAUGUAUAUUGUUGACUAAGCUAGUAAGCUGGCACCAGCCAGUAGUCCAAUUACAUAUCUGCCACUAUCAUACCAAAUUAGACCAACUCGCAUAUAUCUAAGACUCUAAAUCAGUGAAAACAAAAUAUAAAAAAUAAAAUUAGUGGAUUCAAUUAUAUAAAUAUAAAUAAAAUAAAAUAUAAAAAUAUAAAAUUUUAUUUUCAAAUUUAAUGAAUUUUAAAAAAUGAGGGAUACAAGUACACGCCUAAAGCCAACAUAAAUCUGCCACUGGACCAACUAAGUGGUGUAUAUGGCUUGUAAUAAUUAGUACUAGUUUACUAAGUGAGUACGUAAAGUAGCUAGCAUAUGAUUAUUUGACAAGUAAAUCUCUACUCAUAUUCUAGAAAAAAUAGUUAUAGAUCUCUUCAAAUUUGACUUUUCUUUUUUCUGAAGUAUUGACUAUAUGUUGCGGUUAAAAACAUUACAUGAUGUGCCAAUUCAUUCUACCAAGCUUAAUAUGAAUGCAAGUCAAUAUUUUAUGAUUCUGAUCGGUGUGUUACUUUGAAUGACAAAGCAGUGGAUAUUGCAUGACUGGAAUGAUAAGGAGUGUGUGGACAUAUUGAAGAAAUGCAAAGAGGCCAUAACGAGGAAAGGCAAAGAAGGGAAGGUGAUCAUCAUAGACAUGGUGGUGGAGGAUGAGAAGAGAGAUGAUGAAUCAGUUGAAACACAGCUCUUCUUUGAUAUGCAGAUGAUGGUGUUGGUCACUGGAAAAGAGAGAAGCAAGAAAGAAUGGACUAAGUUGAUUUCUUCUGCUGGUUAUAACAACUACAAGAUAACUCCAGUCUUUGGCUUAAGGUCUCUCAUUGAGAUCUAUCCAUAGUAAGUUAUUGAGAUGUGCCAGCACUCUAUCAUUCAUAUAUGUAAGGGCUAUAAUUUUUCUGUUUCGAUUCAUGAGUGAAUGUUGGAUAAGUAACAAUAGCAAUAGACUGAACUCUCUUCAUCAUAGUUGUGUUGUUGGAACAGUACUGUCAAUAAAGGAAAAAAAAAAGAUCUGAGGAUAAGUAUAGUUUGCGUGGUAUAUAUAGCAGGUGAAGAAGAAAAGGAACACGUGGUUAAAGAGCACCGUGAGAGUUUAGCAAUUACUUUUUUUUUUGGUAACUGAAUUUGCCUUGUAUUAGAUUUGUGAAGAACUAAGUUUGUGAGAGUUGUUAUUGAAUAAGAUUGUUUCUAAAGGGUUUGAUAAAGGUAUAAUGGUUUAUUUAAAUACAUUUCACUAUUUUAGUAUUUUAAGUAAGUUCAUAAUGAUGUGAUUAUGUGUCAUGUCAAUAAAAAUACAUCAUUAAUCUCAUCUUAAUAAUAAUAUCAUGCCAACAAUGAAAUUAAUGACAAUAAAAUAAAAUAAUUUUUUUUUAUGAAAACUUAAAAUAGAUAAAAUAAAUAUUACAGAACCUAAAAAUGAAAAGAAAUUAUAAGAAUUAAAAAAAAUAGAAUUUGCUUAUGUCUUUAACUAUCACUUAAAGUUGUUUAUAAUUUUUAUUUUAAAUAUUGGGUUGGACAAAAGAAAUGAUCAUUGUAUUCAUGUUAAGAAUAAAUAAAACAAAACAUAGUGGUAAAAAAAUAUAACAAAUUAAAUCCUAUAAUUUUUCUUUUGGAUGAAGUAUGAAUAUAAAAAGUAAGAGAGACAAAGUUGAAGACAUCAUCAAAGAAUUUUUCAUAAAUUUCUCUAUGAUGACUUCAGGAUAAAAAUCUCAUAUUUGACUUCAAAACACUUGAACACAUAUCCUAAUUAGCUAAAGUAUCAAUCACAUGAUUAGAAUCAUGUGACAUAAUUGCAAGUAACAAAGUUUAAAUGUUUCUCACUAACGCUAUUAAAUAAAAUAAGAUUAAUUGAAAUUUAUUUGUAUUUGAAGUCAAGACACAGAUAUAAUUUUUUGCUUGCAUUCGAAAUGAAAGAAAGCAAGGUCGUCUAAACUCUUAAAGAAAAUGGUUGGAGGUAGACAGAGGUGAAUGCACAUAUAAGCUUGUUCCCACCGUAUGAAUUUUUAUACUUGAAUAUAAUACUCCUAUUCAUAUGGACAUAGAUGCAAAAGUUUGAGAUGAGGAAGGUCACAAGCUUGGAUAGGUUUGGAAGAUAAAUGGUUUGUGAGAAUAUAUAAAUACUAAAUCAAAACAUAUUAUUGGAAGACAGUUGAAGGACUGGCGUUGGAGUAGUUAGUGCAGUGGAAAUAAAUGCUAUUAUUGGAGGACGGUUGAAGGAUUAGCGUACAUGGGGCUAGUUAUUGCGGUGGGAAUAAAUGCUAAAUUAAAACAUAUUAUUGGUGGAAAUUAGCGAUGGAAAUGAGUCAAGCUGCUUGUCAAGGACCUUUUGCUCGGUCUAUUUAAGGCUUGGUUCGGCUUGGCUUGUUUACUAUAAAGAUCAAGCUCAAGCUUUUUAAAAACUUUUUUAGAUAAAAAGGUCAAAGUCAAAUUAUAAAAAAAAGUUUGUUAAGCUUGACAAACCGGCUUGUUUAAGUAAUAAUAAUAAUAUUAAUAAUAAUAAUAACUAUUAUCUAUAUCAUUUUUAUGGCAUUAUGAAUGAUAGGAUGAAGUGACAUAAAGUGUUUAGAGAGUUCACUUGCAUGUGAAAAAUUUUCAAAAAGAAAAAGACUCAAGUUAAAAGGAUAAAGCAAUCAGAUUAAUACUUAAAAAAAAAGGAUGCUUUGUAAAAACAUUUUCACACAAUUUAAAUAUUUUUACUUGAUUAUCUUAUUAUAAAUCAUCUCUAAUCCAUAUAUUUUUUAAUAUUAUGCUCUCUUUUUUCAUUUUCUUUUGAUAUACUCCGUGUUUUAACAACUUGAAUUCAAUAUGAUUUUGUUUAUCAAUUAUUUUUGGAUUUGUACAUUACUUAUACUAAAUUUUAUAAGUUUCUUUUUUUAGUUAGUAUUUCACUAUGUUUUAGAAUAAUUAUUUGGUCAAUGACGUCUUUAAGCAUGCUUUUAAAUAGGCUCGUAGGCCAAGUCAGGCUUUUUUGUGAGUCGAGCCGAGCCUUUAAAAAAAAUCGUAUGACAGGUAAUGAGCGAAACUCAAGUUUUGCGUAUUCAACUCAAGCCUAGUAAAUCUUGGCUUGACUUAGCUCAUUUCCACCCCUAGUGGGAAUAGGGGCCAACUUUUAAUUUUACUACAAGCACUUUAAUUAGUAGGGGUGGGUAAGCGGGCUGGCCCGCCCCACGUAAGGCUCGUCCGCAUAAGCCCGCAUUGGUAGUGGAUCGGGCCAGCCCGUCCCGCAUUCAUACACGGACCAAAUAAAUUGGUUCGCCCCUGCCCCGUGGACCCCGCGGGUCAAACGGGUUGGUACGCGGGCCUAAUUUUAAAAGAAUUUCAAUUUCAAUAAAAAUACAACACGAUCAAAUUAAGUUCAAUACAAAUGUAAAUAAAAUCUUAACAAUUAGUCAAUUACAUCAAUAAAAUAAAUAAUGUAUUAACAAAAGAAAAUCCAAACAAUAAAUUUAAAAUAUGAAACUUAAACAUCUCUAACAACAAAUGAUUUCAUAGUUGAAACAAUAAAAUCCUAAUGGGGGCAACCCAUAGACCCCGCGGGCCAAACCCACAUAGUCCGCGGAUUAAGCAGAACGAACCCAAAAAUAUGACAUAACCAUGAACCGUUUAAAAAAAUUAAUUUAUUACCCGCGCGAACUGCGGUACAGUCCAUGGACCUGAACCUAUUUAUCCACCCCUAUUAAUUACAGUCCAUGUUUCUAAUUGCGGUCCCAAACUUUCCAAAAAUUACGAUCACCAACUAUUUUUAAAAACCUAGCUACAGAGGAUAAAGUCCUUGCUUAAACAUCUUCUCGGGUUUUUUUACCAAAUUACAUAUUCUCUCUCCAUUCUUUUCCUAAAAUACACUACUUUGGCCUUUUAUUCCCAAAGUACACCUGUUUUGGCCACUUCACGGAAGUCGGGUUCUCACACCUCGACUUUCGUUCUUCCUUUUUUUUUUUAUAAAAAAGUUUUUGUAUUAUUAAAAUUAAAUAUUAUAUUAUAUAAAAUUAUUUUUAAAUAAUUUGAAAAUUAUUUAUUUAUUAAAUUAAUUUAUGUAAUAUUAUUUUAUAAUUUAAUUUUGUUAUUAAAAAAAUGAUAUUAUUAAAUUUAAGUGUUUUUGUUAUAUUAUUUAAAUUAUUUAAGAUAUUUUUUGGUGAAUAUAUAUUUUAAAAUCUGAAUUUUGUAUAAUAAUAUAUUUAUUUUAGUAAAUAUUUAUUUUGUAUAAUAAUCUGAAUUUUAAAAUUUUUAAUUUAACUAUUUUAUUAAAUAUAAUUAGUUUGUUUAUGUUAUUAGAUUUAAUUAAAAAUGAUAAAACUAAAGCUUUUAACAAUUUAUUUAUAUAAGAACAUUAUACUACGUCAUCAAUAAAAUAUUUAAACAAUGACAUUUGUCUAAGGAAAAACUAAGAUGAGGAUACAUUAGGACAAUUAUUUCUGCUAUGACCAUGUUGCCGGCAAAGUCCACAUUUUUUUCUACUUGCUCGUUCAUUUUCGUCUUCGUCCAUCUCAGUAGGAAUGCGAGUUGAAACGGGACGACCCUUUGCAGUCCUCUUUCUCCUUGGAUCAGGACCCCACUGAUCUCCUUCAUAUUCUUGCCACAUUGAUUCGUGUGGCAAUAAACCAAAGGAGUUGUCGUAGAUGUGCAAAAUGUGUUGUAAAGUGAAUAUCAUCGGCACAUAGGUCAUGGGAUCAACAUUGACAGAUUUACAGGCAGCCAUGACGUGAGAACACGGUAAAUGUUUAUCCUGAAAUUCACCACAAUCACACUUUUGGGAUUGUAACAUUACUCUAAACCUUCCAGGUGGUCUGGGUGUUUCAAGUGGGGAUUGAGUCUCGGUUAUAAUAAAAGUGUGAUUGUGUCUGUCGAAUUCAUUUACAAUGUGUGUAUUAGAUUCUUGUUGACCACUAUUGAUUGCAUCGAAGAAGACUUCAGAAUACUGUGAGCCGGAGUUGAUCAUUUCCUGAGUUUGUCGACCUCUAUUAGCAAAGAGUUGUGCGGUCUUGAAAUAGGUCUCCUCAACCAAUGAUGACACCAGCAAAUGUCUUGUGUUUUUUAACAUGAAAUUAACAGACUCCGACAAAUUGGUAGUCAUAUGUCCCCAACGUUUCCCCUCAUCAAAGCAUUGUACCCAUUUUUGUUUGGGUAAUUGAUCAAGCCAUUCAGCUGCACUUGGCUUAUUCGCACGAAUAUCCCCAAGAUGUCGCCAGUGCAUCUUCUCCGUGUAUGCGUACCCUGUAAAUAUUUAAUCAAUGUAUUAUGUUAUAAAAUUUGAUUGAAAGAAAAUUAUAACGAAUAAAUAAAAUAGAUUUUCACCAGCCAACAUAAGUGGUUUCUUUAAAUGUUUGCAGUUUGAGUUACCACGAAGAAAGUUUUGUGCAAUGUGGCACAGGCAAAAGAAAUGGGAUGUGUCCUGGACCCAUAAGUUACUUGGGUUGUUGUAGGCACUUAUAAUUGAGGAGUGUCGGUCUGAAAUAAGAGAAAUGUUAAUUUGCGGAGUAACAUGUCUUCUCAAAUUCUUUAGAAAAAACCUCCAAGCUGAAGUUGUCUCCCCUUCUACAAUGGCAUAGGCAAUCGGGAAGAUAUGGUUAGCUCCAUCUUGUGCGGUAGCUAUCAACAGUGUGCCAGUAUACUUUCCAUAAAGCCAUGUACCAUCUACUUGUACAAUGGGUUUGCAAUAUGCAAAACCAUUAAUGCAUGGACCAAAUGACCAAAAGACACGUUUAAACAAUCUUUUGCUCGGUACUAUUUCUCCCCCCUCAUACAAGGAUUCUGUUUGAGCAGCGACCACAGUCCCGGGAACACAAGAUUGCAAAGCUCCGAAAAGUUUUGGCAGUUUGGCAUAUGAUUCUUCCCAGUUUCCAUGAAUCAUCUCCAAUGCUUUUUGCUUUGCUAACCAUGUCUUCUUGUAGGAUGGGGUAUAAUUCAUGAACGUUUUGAUCUCUGCAAUCAAUGUCUUGAUGAAGACAGUUGGGUUUGUUUUGACAAUUGGUUGGAUGAUCUGUGUUAUGACGUGUUUGUCGAGUUGGCGAUGAUCUUGUCUAAGCAUCGGCACGAGACAAGUGUGAUGACCUCUGAUACUCUUGAUAAUCCAUUUGUUAUGCCUCUUUGAAUUGCAUGCGCCCAAGCUCCAUGUACAACCAUUUUCAUGUAACUUGCAGACGAAGUGUAGCCUUCUUUGGUCAGAGUAAAUUGUUCUGCAAUCAAAAUGAUUUCUGAUGUUGUAUUCUUUGAUUGCUCGAAUACAUUGUGAUUUGUCAUCGAAUGUCAUGCCAACCUCGAGUACACCGACUGGUGGUUGCACAUUGUGUUGCUGAUAAACAAAAUGGGGUCGAUCAAUAUAGUGUAGUAGGUGGUCAAAGUUCAAGUCUACUGGACACCUAGGUUGCUGAUAUUGCAACAGAGGUGACGGAGGUGUCGUUGGUCUGCCAACACCCUCGUCAUCGAUUUGGUCAUCACUUUGGUCAUCGCUUUGCUGAUUGAUGUGAUCAAAGAACUGUUGAUCCUCAUCCUCAGUAAAAUCAUCCAUGUUUUCAUGAUGAAAUCGUAUAAUGGGAUCUUCGUUAGCAAUAGGAUGUUCAUCUCGGUUUGAUAUUUGCGUUUGUGGUAGCUGUGAAGGUGGCGUAAAGGGGGAUGAAGGAUGGUUUUGUUGGUCAAAGGAGGUUUGUUGGCCAUGAAAAAAGGAAUCAUUCUCGGAUAAUAUUUGUGUGUAUGAAGUAUAAAUGUCAAAGGGGUCUUGUGAUUCAAGGUUGUUGUAUGAAGAUACUGGAUUAUUGAGGUCUAUGUUGUUGUACGGUAACUGUUGUGGAGGCAGUAGUUGUAGUUGUGGACAUGAGGGUUGUGGAGACGAUGGUUGUGGUUGAGAAAUAAGCUCAGUAACAGCAUAGAAUUCGGCAGAAUUCAAUUGUGGAUUCUGGAUAAUUGUUUCCAUCGCGCCUCUAAGAUCAUCAUUGUCGAAUAGUUGAGCCGAAAUAAAACGUGUCUGACCGAGAUGAAUUGAAAUAGGGACACGAAAUAACAAUUGAGCAACUUGUUCAGUUGCUCGAGUAGAAAGACGAUUGUUAAUUUUUCGAAUGAAUUGUGUAAACGUAAUAGAACGACUGGCGUAAAAAAAUAUUGGGGUCGUACAUUGGUACGUCGAUCCUUGAACGGGAUCAUCUACAAUGUGACCACUGUGGUAAAUGAGGGUCGGAAUUUCUUUAGGUGGAGCCAUGGUGGUGCUUAUGGGAUAUGAGUGGAAAUGGUGUGAGAGUUACAAAUCGAGUUUUGUUUUGUGAGAAAAUUGUUGUGUGUGAUAUGUUGUUGUCAAAUGGUGAUAUUAUAUAUAGGCUGAGAAAGUUUAGUACUAGAGUUAGAUUGUAAUGUUAGGUGGGAGAGUUAGAUUGGAAGGUUAGGUUGGGAGAGUUAGUUACGAGGGUUAGAUGGGAGUGUUAGAUUGGAAGGUUAGAUGAAAGAGUUAGAUUGGAAGGUUAGGUGGGAGAGUUAGUUACGAGGGUUAGAUGGGAGGGUUAGGUGAGAGUGUUAGAUUGGAAGGUUAGGUAAGAUAGUUAGAUCGAAAGGAUAGAUGGGAGGGUUAGGCAGCAAAGUUAGUUACGACGGUUAGGUAGGAGAGUUAGGUAGGACAUUAAGUGCAUGUGAGUAAUUUAGUGUACACAUGUGAGUGAACAGUAUGCAACCUCACACAUUAAUAUACAUGACAGACUGUUCGUUUAAUCAUGAUUGUUGACCGCAGUGUUCUGUAUCGCAUGCCAAGGUCACAUGGAUUGUUCAGAAACAUGUUAAUGGGAUAAACAUACGCAUGUGAGUGAACAGUGUGCAACACCAAACUUCAAAGCAUCUCUGAAAUGAUGCAUAUGUAGACUAUUAUUACUGAAGUAAAUUAAAAAUAACAACUUCAAAGCAUACAACAACUACAACUAGAUAAUAAAGACGGAGAAAAACUUCAAUGCAAUACAACAACAAAAUAUGUUAAAUUAUUCAUUCUAAUUUCAUGGUAUUCUCCAGCUUCUGCUCCAUGUCAGCCCAACUUAGGUCAUUAACUUGAGUAGGUGAUAAUGAAUUAUGAACAUCAACUUUAAGUUCCAUACAUAUUACACUUCUCAUAUUGAGAAAUGUAUGAAACAUGCAUGAGACACCUUCUUCGUCAAUAAUUUGAAUUGCCCUAUAUUGAACUUCACCAUUUAAUUGAUAUAUAGGACAACGAUACCAAAGGGUAUUAAUUAUAGGCGUAACACCAUUAUCUGUAAUUGAUGACUGUAUUGCAGUGAUUAUAUUUGGCAGCGUCAUUGUUGGAUUCAAGAGUAACGACUUUGUGUUGUCACCUCUGAAAAUUGCAUUUGCACUUGAACUUUGAAUGAUUUCACCAUUGAUAUAAACGUACACACAAAUAGGCUUUGACCUCAUUGCUAGCCCUCUCUGUUUUCUCUCACAAUUUGAUUAGACACAACAGUGCAAAGUAUUAGGUGACAUGGUAGGUUUAUAUAUGCAAUCAAUCACGGGUCCAUGGUUCACGUGAAUUAGAAUCUCGAUGCAUCACAGUAACACAGUCGUGUUAAUGUGCUUUGGAAUCUCGAGGCCUUACAACGAGACAAAAUAUAAAUGUGGUUUGGAAUCUCGAGGCAUUACAAUUACAUUAAGUGUAAUGUUGAGGCCAUGCGAAAUGUUGAGAACAAAGCUAAUGCGGUUAUCGUACGCAUGUGGGUGAAUAGUGUGCAUGAAAAUGUCAUUGGUUCACGUGCAUUAGAAUCUCGAUGCGUGACAGUACCACAAUUGAUGCUAAUGUGCUUUGGAAUCUCGAGGCCUUGCAACGAGACAAUUUAUAAAUGUGCUUUGGAUUCUCGAGACAUUUACAAUUACCUUAUCGUACGCAUGUGGGUAAAUAGUGUGCACGAAAAUAUCAUUGGUUCACGUGCAUUAGAAUCUCGAUGCGUGACAGUACCACAGUUGAUGUUAAUGUGCUUUGGAAUCUCGAGGCCUUGCAACGAGACAAUUUAUAAAUGUGCUUUGGAUUCUCGAGACAUUUACAAUUACCUUAUCGUACGCAUGUGGGUGAAUAGUGUGCACGAAAAUGUCAUUGGUUCACGUGCAUUAGAAUCUCGAUGCAUGACAGUACCACAGUUGAUGUUAAUGUGCUUUGGAAUCUCGAGGCCUUGCAACGAGACAAUUUAUAAAUGUGCUUUGGAUUCUCGAGACAUUUACAAUUACCUUAACGUACACAUGCGGGUGAACAGUGUGCACAAAAUUUUAGUGAUUCACGUGAAUUAGAAUCUCGAUGCACCACAGUACCAUAGUCAUGUUAACGUGCUUUGGAAUCUCGAGGCCUUGCAACGAGACAAAUUAUAAAUGUGCUUUGGAAUCUCGAGGCAUUACAGUUAUCUUAAGUGUAUUUGUGCUUGCAAAACCGAACAUAGUGUAAAUAAUAAAUAGAUGAGAGGUGCAUGUCAAUACCACAUGUGCAUCACCCAACUUCAAAUUUUAUAUCAUUUGUAUUCGGUUUACCAUUUGACAUCAUUCUCAUGGAUGAUAAACCUCUAUUGCGUCAUCGACAUGUUCAUCUUUCACGUACUACGAUUAAUGAGUUAAUCACUUCCUAUUACCAUACAAUACCUGAACCAGAACCACAAAUUAUACCAUUAUUAUCAUCUACCGGGUUCCAACAUAUUGCCUUAAUCAAACAGUGUAAAAUUGAUCCUGCAUUGAUCACUGCAUUGGUUGAACGAUGGAGGCCUGAAACACAUACCUUUCACCAGCCAUGGGGAGAGUGCACCAUCACACUCGAAGAUGUUGCACUUUGUAACAUCCCAUUUUUUCAUAAAUAAAUUUAAGAAUUUUUUAGUAAAAAUAAUAAAAAUAAAUAAAUAGAGUAAAUAAUAGGUCGUAAAUGCCCCUAGUUAUAAAUAACAACAUGCUAGGUUUUUCAGACAGACUCCUCAGCCUUCUUUGCCUCUCAUUUUCGUUUUUCUCCUUCUCCUCUCAAAACCCUUUCUUUUUCCCGCAGCCCACAAAACUUGUCUCAGAAAAACGAUGAUCUCGGACUCAUUAACCGUUGGAUCGUCGUGAAAUUUGAGCACCACAUUCGCAACCCAAUUUCGAGCAUUCUCACCGUUAGGAAUUGCAAAAUCAUGUCUGACCUUAGAGGAAAACCCUUCGCAUUGUAGCUUUUUAUUAUCCCGCAGAAACCCAAAACUGUCUCGGUAAAACUACGAUCCCGGUUUCGUUAACCGUUGGAUUUUCAUGAAAUUUGGAUAUGUUGCUCGAAAUUCAAUUUCGCACACUCUAACCGUUGGGAUUUGCGAGAUAAUAUUCGUAGUGGGAGAAAAAGGAAUCGCAUGGAGACAGUACAAGCGGAGUCUUCAAUCUCUUCUCCGUUUCUCUGACGUUUGAGAAUUCUAUCGGAGCAGUCGGAGGAAAAACUUGAGGAAUCUCAAGGAACCGCUAUAGAUGCCGCUAUCGUUGUCGGAAGACACGUGAGUCCGCUUAGAGGUAAGGGAUGAGUUAUUCACAAUUGGGAAAUAGUGAGAACAUGUAUAGGGAUUCUUAGAGAUAUCAAUUGGAAAAGGUUUUUGAGUGUUUUUGCAAUUUCAUUUUAUCCUUAUAAUUAUUACAGUGAAUUAUAUAUGUUUGACAAACCAAUUGUUGUGAAAUUGAUAUGCUAUUAUGUUGAGCAUGAACCCUAUAAAUUGAGUACUUUUUCUAAUUAAUAUGAAUUGAUGAAAUAAAAUAAGGAGAAAUUUAGAGAGAGAUAUUGAUUUUGUAUUUUCUCUUUUUCUUGUGCAUUGAAAGCUUACUUUGAAAUUUGUGAUUCAAUAUGAUGUAUGCCAGUUUAUAGAUAUAGAGGUAGCUAUUUAUAUUAAUAAUUUAUGUAAAUAAUAUUGUAGAGUGUUGUAGUAUGAUUCCAAAAAUUAUUAAGUGUUGGAGUUUGAGAAUAUUAUGGUUAAAUUUCAUGAACAUGUGUAUGUUGUACCUUAUGAAUAUCAUUGACAAUGUUAUGAGAUGGUUGAUGUGAUGUUAUGAGAUGUUAAAGUGUGAACAUGAUAUUCGAUUGUGAAUAAGUGGAUGUGUUAACACUUGAUGUUACAUUAAUUAUAUCGUGAGCUAUGAAUUAUACAAUAACUCGACCAGUGUUUAUGCGCAGUGUUAAAGAGAAAGUGUAGGUUCCUAGUUAGGAACCAGUGUUAAAUUGUAGCGCAAUUGUGUUAAACAUGUUUGAAACAUGAGUGUGAGGUCGUGGUAUUGUAUAAUUCAUGAGCAGUGCUUAUAAAUGAAAUAUGUGAUGAAUUGUGGAAUGAUAUGUUGCCUUGAGAUUAUAAUAUUGUUAUUGAGAUUGAGUAAAAGUGUAAAGUAGAACAGGUGUUGAAUUGUGAGAUAUGUGAAAACAUGUGAUGGUGGAUUGUAACAUUAUGAGAUGUGAAAUUGUGAAUGAGUUUUGGUUGUGAAUAAGUGUGUGAUUAACUCUUGAUGUGACAUUAUUUGUGUUGUAAGCUGUGAAUUGUACAAUAACCCGACCAGUGUUAUCUUGAGAAAAGUGUAAAUGCGCAGUGUUAAAGAGAAAUUGUAGGUUUCCUAUUUAGGAACCAGUGUUAAAGAGAAAGUGUAGGUUCCUAUUUAGGAACCAGUGUUAAAUUGUAGCGCAAUAUGUUGUACGUGCUUAAGACACGAGUGUGAGGUCGUGGGUAUUGUAUAAUUCACUAGCAGUGUCUGUGUGUUAAAAUGAUUUUAGGGGUUGGACCUGAAUCAGGAGGGAGAGGCCCUGACGGACUCUUCGGAGUGUAGGCCUUGGGGGUCACCGGGUUUGAGUGCUCCUUUAAGCCUAUGCUGAUCCCAUAUGGUUGGAGCAUUCUCGCAAAACAUCGUGACCCUGACUGGUCUCCCUAUGAUCUUACUUAGUGAGAGUGACCUGGCAAACCCAUUAUGUGGUGUGUCUUGUUAUGUACUCCUAAGCGCCCCAGGGUGGUUUUUCACUGACAUGGUACCACAUUGCAUAUAGGCUUGAGUCUUAGCAUAACUGUCUCAUGCGCUUGCUAAUUGUUUAUUAUGAAAUUGAUGUGUUAUUAUAUCUUGAUCAGAGAAUGUGAUUUUUGUGUAAUGUGAUUGAUGAUUGAAAAGUGUGAUUGAUGGAUGAAAAGUGAACUUUGAAUGACAAAGUGGUGGAAUUACGUGAAUUACGUGUAAGUAAAUUUUAUUUAGUGAUAUGUAUAUCUAGUUGUCUUGUUUCUCUAUUAGUUAGGAAUGUGAUAACUCACUCCCCCUGUGUUGUUUGUAUUUGGAUCAUGUGAUGAUCUUGAACUUUGUGUUCGGGGGAGCAGACGACUAGGUGAAUUGCUUUAAGGAACAUUAUGCUGAAGGACGUCGAGACACAACGCUCUGAUAGAAUGUGACAGUGGGACAUAAGUUUUUAUAUUAGUGGCAUGAUGUUAGUCUAUUUUAUUUUAUUUCACUGAUUUAAUAAAAUAUCUCUGUAAAUUUUGAUGGCCUUAUUUUGAGCCAAAUAUGUUUCAAUAAGUUUUAAUUGAUAAUAGUGAAGUGAAUGUGAACCUUUUACCCGUGUGAAUUUGGUUACCAAUAUUUUUAUAUAUUUUGUUUAUUUAUAUAUAUGUCGGGGUAGAGGGUGUCACACACUUCAUCUAGGCAUUAGAGUUGAUGGUCGUGUUGUGGCUGGACCUAGCUUCUUACAUUGGGAUGAGUUAUGCCACGAGUUACUAGGGGAAGUCCCUCCCGAAAAUGCACGUAAAGGAGCCGCACUGAAGCUAACAUGGUUGCUAAACAUGUUGCGCACACCAUUGCCUGAAGAACCAACAACGCACCAACUACAAUGCAGGUGUAGAGCUUACAUAAUGUACAUGAUUGGCGGUGCUUUAAUUCCUGAUAAAUCUGGAAAUAGAGUUCAUUUAAUGUAUUUGAACCUAUUACGUGAUUUGAACAACACAAAAAAAUAUAGUUGGGGUUCGGCUUGCUUAGCAAACCUGUAUAGAGAACUAUGUCGAGUAUCAUCGGAGGUUGGUAAAUCUAUGGGUGGUUGUGUCAUACUAUUGCAGUCAUGGGCUUGGUACCACAUGCCUUUUAUUGCACCAAGAGUCCCACGACCGGAAACAACUUUUCCACUGGCUAAAAGGUUAUUUACAUAUAGCGAAAUGUAAAUUUUUUUAUUUCAAUGACGUGUAUUAUAACAUUACAAUGAAUACUGAUUAUGUAUGUUUUACAUUUUAGAUGGAGUGGUGGUAGAUUAGAAUAUAGGGCCACACCGCAUGGUGACUUAGUCAGAUAUAGGUCUCGUAUAGAUCAUGUGGAGAGCCAUGAGGUAUGAUACUAUCAUGAUCUGCACCUUAAAUAUAAACAUACAUACUAACAUGUUGCCUUGUUGGCAUAUAUUUUAGUUUUCUUGGAUCCCAUAUAGAGGAUUUGAAGAACACCUACCCAGACGUGCAUAUAGAGACAUGGAGAUUUGGUCUGCAUGUACUGCAAUUAUUUGUUUCUCGAUUGUCGAAUGACAUCAAACAAAUCGAGUGAAGCUACAGUUUGGACUACAACAAGAUAUCCCUGUUGAUCCCAUGAAUCUUGAUUUACUUCACCAAAUUGACAUGCGAGGCAAUCAUUACACUGAUUGGAUGGAAUAUCAUGCGGAGUGGAUUAAUAUCUGGAAAAACAAACACAACGAUAUUUUAGCUGGGCAAUGGGUUGAAGGAAUAGUGACACAUACACCAGCGUACAUGGAAUGGUAUAGAAAAAACACUACUUUGUUCUUGUCUGUUGAACAACAACUACAUGAUCCGCUCACAACAAUUACACAAAAUGUUGCAAGGUCAGGUGUUGAACAAACACAUUUUGAAAUUCUACAUCCUUAGUCAAUGUAUUCUACUCCUUCACCUGUUCAUCAAACUUUUGGCCACACUGGCGAGUCAGUCACCGCAACCACCCAUGAAUGGAUGAACGAUUUAUUUGGCGUCGAUUUCAAUACACCAAAUUCAGCGGCAUCAUAUUUAGCUACUUUACAACAGUUCGAUGCACCGCAUUCGUUUGGAGAACAAGGUCAAAGUUCUUCAGCUGCAACAACCAACAUUGAAAAUACUAACAUAGAACAACAACAUGAUCAUGACGUGGAAGAACCAGUCAUACUGGAAAGAAGAAAUCCUCGACGUAAUCGGCGUCCACCACCUUGUGGGACUGGUCAUCGUCUUGGUCAUUGAAGUAUAAAAUGUUGUGAUAAUGGGAUCAAAUAUGUGUAAGUACCCCUGUAACGGCAUCAUCAAAUAUGAUUUGGACCCUUGCAAUUAUGCUUAAGAGCCCAUGUUCUGCAUUUUUUUAAAAUUAUGUCCAACACAUUAAUGAUGUUUGUGACUCAUUUUUUCUAUAGUUUGAACGUCAGAGAAUCCAAAAAAAAUUAUUUAGUGCACCAGUUCCAUCGACUAACACCUCAAAAUACAAGUACAAAAUAAAAAAAAAAACUAUGAUUUGGACCCUUCCAACUAUGCUUAAGAGCCCAUGUUCUGCAUUUUUUUAAAAUUAUGUCCAACACAUUAAUGAUGUUUGUGACUCAUUUUUUCUAUAUUUUGAACGUCAAAGAAUCCAAAAAAAAUUAUUUCGUGCACCAGUUCCAUCGACUAACACCUCAAAAUACAAGUACAAAAUCAAAAAAACUAUGAUUUGGACCCUUGCAACUAUGCUUAAGAGCCCAUGUUCUGCAUUUUUUUAAAAUUAUGUUCAACACAUUAAUGAUGUUUGUGACUCAUUUUUUCUAUAGUUUGAACGUCAAAGAAUCCAAAAAAAAUUAUUUUGUGCACCAGUUCCAUCGACUAACACCUCAAAAUACAAGUACAAAAUAAAAAAAACUAUGAUUUGGACCCUUGCAACUAUGCUUAAGAGCCCAUGUUCUGCAUUUUUUUAAAAUUAUGUCCAACACAUUAAUGAUGUUUGUGACUCAUUUUUUCUAUAGUUUGAAUGUCAAAGAAUCUAAAAAAAAUUAUUUUGUGCACCAGUUCCAUCGACUAACACCUCAAAAUACAAGUACAAAAUCAAAAAAACUAUGAUUUGGACCCUUGCAACUAUGCUUAAGAGCCCAUGUUCUGCAUUUCUUUAAAAUUAUGUCCAACACAUUAAUGAUGUGUGUGCCUCAUAUUUUCUAUAGUUUGAACGUCAGAGAAUCCAAAAAAAAUUAUUUCGUGCACCAGUUCCAUCGACUAACACCUCAAAAUACAAGUACUAAAUCAAAAAAAAACUAUGAUUUGAACACUUUUUCCAUAAUAAUAACGUCAAAAACUUCAAAAAAAAAUAAUAUUCGUGACACACUGCAAUUUUCACAAAUCAAUUUUUUUUUACUCUGAAAUUAUAAUGGACUUCUGCUGCAUCAAUUAUCAGGGAUAAAUCACAGUCGAAAUUGACAACACUCGACAAUUUCUAUAGGUCUCUAAAAAAAUAUCUCACCAGUAAAACUUACAUGACAUGCACUACUCAAUUUUUUUUCACUCUGCUAAUUAUAAUGGACUUAUACUCCAUCAAUUACCAGAGAUAAAUCACAGUUAAAAUUGACAACACUCAGCAAUUUACACACGUCUCUAAAAAAAUAAAUGUCGCACUAGUAAAACAGACAUGACAUGGACAACUCAAUUUUUUUCACUCUGAUAAUUAUAAUGGACUUCUGUUCCAUCAAUUACCAGGGAUAAAUCACAGAUGAAAUUGACAACACUCGGCAAUUUUCACACAUCUCUAAAAAAAUUAAUGUCGCACCAGUAAAACUGACAUGACGUGGACAACUCAGUUUUUUUUCACUCAGUUGUUUUUUUCACUCAACAAUUUGCACAUUAUGGACCCUUGUAAAUAUGCUUAAGUGUUCAUUUACUCGUUCAUCUAAAUGCACAGUUAACUAGUGACUCACUCAAUUAUAACCAAAUUCUAUAAAUACCACUACAGCUAAAGACAUUCGUAACAAUUUCAAAUUUUCAUCUCAAUCCCUACCACAAUAUGUCACCUAACUGCAUAUGUUUGUGUUUACUACGACGGCCAAAUUUGCAAUACUAAUGAGGGCACCACCUUCGUUAGUAACAACACAAAAACUUUCAUGGUCGACAAGGUCAUAACCUUUACACAAUUGCUUGAACUUGUUCACCAAAAACUAAACAUUGACCCAAAACAACAUAUCCAACAUCUCCAUUUUCGGUGCCCUAUAUUUGAGUCAGGACAACGUUAUAUGUACACAUCUUUUAUUCUGCGAGAUGAUGCUGAUGUUCGACAAAUGUUCAACAUUUUUUACAAUAACCCAUCACUACCAUUUGUGGAGUUAUUUGCCAUAAUCUGUCACAAUAAUGACCCACCAGGCAACCAACAUGGCUCAACCUCUAAUCUUGAGGACUUAGGUGAAUACGAGACUUGUUGGCUCAAAAACCAUGAUAGUGAUACGGGCUCCUCUUCCGGGCCCGAAGGAAGUAACCUGUCUCCAUCCCACGAACCUAUAUUUCUUCUUUGAGAUUUUCAUGUAAUGUCUUAUGUCUGUCUUCAGUUAUCACUUUACGUAUUGAAAUAAUUUUUCCUUUAAAUUUAAAUUAGCAAUUUUCAGUUUACCCACUUUUACUGCAGUAGUUGACAUGGUAACAUAACUGUCAAAAUUCACAAUACUUUGUCAUUUACACUACACUGUUUUUAAAAAUUCAAUGUCUCAUCGACAAAACUGACAUGAAAUGGACAACUCAUAAUCUCUUUAUUCACUCUAAAAAUAACUAUGGACGUUUGCUGCUUUAAUUACAAGGAAAAAAUCACAAUCCAAAUUGACAAUACUCUGCAAUUUGCAUACGUCUCUAAGAAUUAAAUGUCUCACCUGCAAAACUGUCAUGAAAUGGACAACUCAUAAUCUCUUUAUUCACUCUGAAAAUAACUAUGGACGUUUGCUGCUUUAAUUACAAGGGAAAAAUCACAAUCCAAAUUGACAAUACUCUGCAAUUUGCAAACGUCUCUAAAAAUUAAAUGUCUCACCUGCAAAACUGUCAUGAAAUGGACAGCCCGUCAUCUCUUUAUUCACUCUGAAAUUCAUCAUGAACGUCUGUUGCUUUAAUUACAUGGGAAAAAUCACAGUCCAAAAUAACAACACUCUGCAUUAUGAGCUGUCCAUUUCAUGUCAGUUUUACAAGUGAUACAUUUAAUUUUUAGAGACGUGUGCAAAACUGACAUGAGAUGGACAACUCAUAAUCUCUUUGUUCACUCUGAAAUUAUAAUGGACGUCUGCUACAUCACUUACUAGGGAAAAAGAAACAUUGGAUUCCAAUACACAUCAACGUGACAGAAUACUCAUACAACUAUAAAUAACACAACACAGACACAAUACAAACACACAAUCUCACACAACAUAAUUUCACAAACCAAAUUCAAUCUUAUUACUAUGUCAUUUUGGGAGAAACAAGCAGUCAGACCAUUACUAACUCCAGAUUAGCUUUCAUUUUUCCAAAUGGAUCAAUCAGUUACAACCAAACUGGUGUUUAUUUUCAAAGUCUUAUUCCAACACCAAUGCGAGUUCCUAACAACUGUUCUUUUGAUACACUCAAGCGUAGAAUGCACAACACCCUUCAACUAACCAACGAUCAAUUACUGGAUGAAAUCUACUACCGACAGCCAUUCAUAGAUGCAGGUCAACAAUAUUUUUUUCAAUCUUUACAAUUGAAAAAUGAUGAUGAUGUUUACACAAUGUUAAUGUGCAAUGACCAAUACUCGUGUGUUGGCCCUAUAGAAUUAUUAUGUACCAUUAUUAGAACACCGGAUGCUAUACUCAAUCUGCUUCAAUCAAUCAUCACUCCUACUCAUGAUGCAAUUAUGUAUUACAACGGGAAGUGGAACAUACCACGUCAAGGUGAGUUUUUGGGUUACUCCUUUACUGGAACUAAUCCAAUAAGAUUUGACAUUCCUUCGGGAUGUGGCAUGGAGAAACUCAAGGAUUUAAUCAAACAAGUUGCACCUACAGGGGUUCCCCCUAAUGGAAUUCACGGAUCACAAUUGGUUAGACGAUUAUUCUUUCGACAACCAGGUCAUUCUAAGUAUUCCGAAAAUUUGAUUGAAUAUGACAUAACAGAAUUGAAAAAUGAUGAAGACGUGCUAAAAGUGUUAGCACAAUCCAACUAUUGGAAACGAUUCUGCACAAUAGAAAUUUUGGCUAUUUUUAGCAAACCAGUAAUCUAAAUAGAAGAAGACAUGUAUUCUGCACAACAUAUCUCAUAUCCUCAUUAGUUUUGUUAUGUUUGCAUUGUAAGUGUAAUUUUUAAUAUGUUUCAUUAUUGUCGAGUAUCAUUUCAAUGACUGUAAUUUGAGUAUUUUGUCUAUGACUGAUUUGUCAUAUAUUUUUUUGUGGUGUUUUUUUACUGUAUUUUAAUACUACUAACUAAUUUUAUUAUUUUUUAAUUACAAGAACAUACAAAAAUUAACAAAACAUAAAUUUAACUACACAAUUACAUAUAACAUAAAUAAAAAAUUAUACUCUAAUUUUAUCCAAUUUUAUAUUUUUCUUUAUAUGUAUAUUUCUCUUUACAAAAAAUUAUAAAAUAAUAUUACAUAAAUUAAUUCAAUAAAUAAAUAAUUUUCAAAUCAAUUAAAAAUAAUUUUAUAUAAUAUAAUUAAAUUAAAAAUUUUAAAAUUCAGAUUAUUAUACAAAAUAAAUAUUUACUAAAAUAAAUAUAUUAUUAUACAAAAUUCAGAUUUUAAAACAUAUAUUCACCAAAAAAUAUCUUAAAUAAUUUAAAUAAUAUAACAAAAACACUUAAAUUUAAUAAUAUCAUUUUCUUAAUAACAAAAUUAAAUUAUAAAAUAAUAUUACAUAAAUUAAUUUAAUAAAUAAAUAAUUUUCAAAUUAUUUAAAAAUAAUUUUAUAUAAUAUAAUAUUUAAUUUUAACAAUAUAAAAACUUUUUUAUAUAAAAAAAAUAGAAGAACGGAAGUCGGGGUGUGAAAACCAGACUCCCGUGAAGUGGUCAAAACAGGUGUACUUUGGGAAUAAAAGGUCAAAGUAGUGUAUUUUAGGAAAAGAAUGGAGAGAGAAUAUGUAAUUUGGUAAAAAAACCCAUCUUCUUGCCUAUAAAUAGACCCAAAUAAUGUGAGGUUCCAUACUCCAAAAUCCACAUCUAGCAGCAAAUUAUGGAAUCCCAUGAUGAAGAGCAUGCUGCCAAACUACUUAGAGCUCAAACCCACAUAUGGAAUCACAUAUUUAGCUUCAUAAACUCCAUGUCCCUUAAAUGUGUGGUUGACUUAGGCAUACCAGAUAUCAUACACAACUAUGGCCAACCCAUGCCACUCUCAAACCUCAUUGCUUCACUACCAAUCCACCCAUCCAAAACUUGCUUCGUCCAUCGCUUGAUGCGAAUCAUGAUCCAUUCUGGCUUCUUCUCUUUACAAAAUCAUGACUUGGAGAAUGAGCUAGAAGCCAAGUAUGUGCUAACCGAUGCAUCUGUACUACUGCUUAAGAACCAUCCGAUGAGUGUGACACCUUUCUUGCAUGCCAUNNNNNNNNNNNNNNNNNNNNNNNNNNNNNNNNNNNNNNNNNNNNNNNNNNNNNNNNNNNNNNNNNNNNNNNNNNNNNNNNNNNNNNNNNNNNNNNNNNNNNNNNNNNNNNNNNNNNNNNNNNNNNNNNNUCACUUGUUCAAUGAUGCCAUGGCAAGUGAUGCUCGAUUUGUCACUAGUUUGGUGAUUGAGAAAUGUAAGGGAGUGUUCAUGGGAUGGAGUCAUUGGUUGAUGUUGGGGGAGGCACAGGGACCAUGGCAAAAGCCAUUGCUAAAUCAUUCCCUCGGGUGGAAUGCAUUGUGUUUGAUCUACCACAUGUUGUUUCUGGCUUGAAAGGAAGUGAGAACCUUAAAUAUGUUGCAGGGGACAUGUUUGAGGCAAUUCCUCCAGCUGAUGCCAUUUUGUUAAAGGUAAAUCACUAUUCACAUUCAGAAUACAAUUUUACAUUCAUACCAUUAACACCCAGUUUUUAUACUUGAGUGAUGUCAAAUUUUAAAGAAUUAAAGCAAAUAAUUGAUCGAUUGGAAAAAAAAAUGAACGAUUUUAUGAUCAUUGAUCACUUGAAAUAACUUCAAAUAUAUAUAUGUAUAUUGUUCACUAAGCUAGUAAGCUAGCACCAGCUAGUAGUCCAACUACAUAUCUGCCACUAUCAUACCAAAUCAGACCAACUAAGUGGUCUAUAUGGCUUGUAAUAAUUAGUACUAGUUUACUAAGUGGGUACGUAAAGUAACUAGCAUAUGAUUAUUUGAAAAGUAAAUCUCUGCUCAUAUUCUAGAAAAAAUAGUUAUAGAUCUCUUCAAAUUUGACUUUUCUUUUUUCUGAAGUAUUGACUAUAUGUUGCGGUUAAAAACAUUACAUGAUGUGCCAAUUCAUUCUACCAAGCUUAAUAUGAAUGCAAGUCAAUAUUUUAUGAUUCUGAUCGGUGUGUUACUUUGAAUGACAAAGCAGUGGAUAUUGCAUGACUGGAAUGAUGAGGAGUGUGUGGACAUAUUGAAGAAAUGCAAAGAGGCCAUAACGAGGAAAGGCAAAGAAGGGAAGGUGAUCAUCAUAGACAUGGUGGUGGAGAAUGAGAAGAGAGAUGAUGAAUCAGUUGAAACACAGCUCUUCUUUGAUAUGCUGAUGAUGGUGUUGGUCACUGGAAAAGAGAGAAGCAAGAAAGAAUGGGCUAAGUUGAUUUCCUCUGCUGGUUAUAACAACUACAAGAUAACUCCAGUCUUGGGCUUAAGGUCUCUCAUUGAGAUCUAUCCAUAGUAAGUUAAUGAGAUGUGCCAGCACUCUAUCAUUCAUAUAUGUUAGGGCUAUAAUUUUUCUGUUUCGAUUCAUGAGUGAAUGUUGGAUAAGUAACAAUAGCAAUAGACUGAACUCUCUUCAUCAUAGUUGUGUUGUUGGAACAGUACUGUCAAGAAAGGAAAAAAAAAAAAUCUGAGGAUAAGUAUAGUUUGCGUGGUAUAUAUAGCAGGUGAAGAAAAAAAGGAACAUGUGGUUAAAGAGCACAGUGAGUUUGGCAAUUACUUUUUUUUUUGGUAACUGAAUUUGCCUUGUAUUAGAUUUGUGAAGAACUAAGUUUGUGAGAGUUGUUAUUGAAUAAGAUUGUUUCUAAAGGUUUGAUAAAGGUAUAAUGGUUUAUCUAAAUACAUUUCAAUAUUUUAGUAUUUUAAUUAAGUUCAUAAUGAUGUGAUUAUGUGUCAUGUCAAUAAAGAUAUAUCAUUAAUCUCAUCUUAAUAAUAGUGUCAUGCAAACAAUGAAAUUAAUGAGACUAAAAUAAAAUAAAAAGAAUUUUAUGGAGACAUAAAAUAGAUAAAAUAAAUAUUACAGAAACUAAAAAUGAAAAGAAAUUAUAAGAAUAAAAAAAAAAGAAUUUGCUUAUAUCUUCAAAGGUCACUUUAAGUUGUUUAUAUUUUUUAUUUUAAAUAUUGGGUUGCACCAAAGAAAUGAUCAUUAUAUUCAUGUUAAGAAUAAAUAAAGCAAAACAUAAUGACCAAAAAAUAUAGCAAAUUAAAUCCUAUAAUUUUUCUUUUGGAUGAAGUAUGAAUAUAAAAAGUAAGAGACAACAAAGUUUAAGACAUCACGAAAGAAUUUUUCAUAAAUUUCUCUAUAAUGACUUUAGGAUAAAAAUCUCAUCUUUGACUUCAAAACACUUGAACACAUAUCCUAAUUAGCUAAAGUAUCAAUCACAUGAUUAGAAUCAUGUGACAUAAUUGCAACUAACAAAGUUCAAAUGUUUCUUACUAAUGCUAUUAAAUAAAAUAAGAUUAAUUGAAAUUUAUUUGUAUUUGAAGUCAAGACUGUUAACUCGUUGACAAGUGUACCAAAUUUGUCACAAGUAAUAAAGUACUCGGAAGUCCGAGUGUCGAAUCCACUGGGAUUUUGUGUUGUACUUAUCUUGGAUACUUUUCAAUUUAUAAGGAAUUAAAAGAAAAAGUAGAAGGCAAUAAUAGUAAAUUAUAAAUAGAAAGCAAAAGAAUUAAAAGCAAAAUAAUUAAAGAGAGAAUUCAAUGGAAUGCGAAUGUUAGGACCUAGCAUGCCUUGUUUGCCUAGGAUGUAUGAAUUUAUGAUUUUUCUUCACCAAUUUAGGUGAUUCUAUUCUACCCACAUCUGUUCAUUUACUUGCCCCUGAUUCCUCACGAUGACAAGUCUAUUUUAUUCAUUUAUCUCCCAAAUUCCUUUGUAAAAACUCAACAAAUAAAAUGCAUGAAGUAUGAAUUCUAGAUGUUUGCAAGAAUGCAUGGGCAUAAAAUUAUCAUUCUAUUCCUAGCAAUGACUUUCUUAUGAAAUCCUUUCUUUUUGUUCUAUUAGAAGUUACCUUCUUCCGAGUGUCUAACCCCUAAAACUAAUGCAUGCAUACCUUCUUUAAAUCUUGUUUAGAAGUUACCAUCUCCCGAGUGUCUAACCCCUAAAAGAAUAUAAAGAUGAAUAAUGCAAGAUAAAAACAGAAAAGAUAAUAGAAUAGAAAAACCUGGAAAAUAAUCCUGUUGCAUUGAUAAAUAUGAAGUACAUCAUACAUUUCUUUGACUUUUUAGGCCUACCAGGCCCUAACUAGGAGUUUAGUCACUCAUGGCCAUUGAGGGCUUUACAAUGAGAAGGGGGUGAAAAAAAGAUGAUAAAAAAAAGGAAGAGAGUAAAAAUUCUCAGGCUUUGAGUAGUAGUGAGAGUGCUCUCUGAGACUUGGUGUUUUCCUCCUUGGCCUGACUCUCUAUCUAUAGCUGAUGAAGUGGACUUGGGCUUGAUUCAAACAAUCUUCCUUAUCUAUCUUUUUUAUAUCUUUUGGAUCUUGUAAAUCUUAUCUUUCCUAUAUCUGCAAGUCAUAGAUAAGAAAAUAUCAAUUCAUAUCUUUUAAGUCAAAAUUAACUGCUAAAUAAAUAUCUUUAAAGAUAUUUUCAAAUUAGCUCAUAUUUAACAGUUAUCAAUAUCUUUUAGAUCUUGUAAUCUUAUCUUUUUAUAUCUGCAAGCCAUAAAUAAUAAAAGUAUCAAUUCUUAUCAUUUAAGCAAAAAAAUAACUGUUAAAUAAAUAUUUUCAAAGAUAUUUUCAAUAUAUUUUUAUUAUGAAAUAACUCAUAUUUAACAGUUAUCAAAGACACAGAUAUAUUUUUUUGCUUGCAUUCGAAAUCAAAGAAAGCAAGUACAUCUAAGCGCUUAAUGAAGAUGGUUGGAGGUAGACAGAGGUGAAUUCACAUAUAAGCUUGUUUCCCCAGUAUGAAUUUUUAUACUUGAAUAUAAUACUCCUAUUCAUGUGGGCAUAGAUGCAAAAGUUUGAGAUGAGGAAGGUCACAAGCUUGGAUAGGUUUGGAAGAUAAAUGGUUUGUGAGAAUAUAUAAAUGCUAAAUUAAAACAUAUUAUUGGAAGACAGUUGAAGGAUUGACGUCGGAGUAGUUAGUGCAGUGGAAAUAAAUGCCAUUAUUGGAGGACGGUUGAAAGAUUAGCGUAGGUGGGGCUAGUUAUUUCGGUGGGAAUAAAUGCUAAAUUAAAACAUAUUAUUGGUGGAAAUUUGGGAUGGAAAUGAGUCACGCCGCUUGUCAAGGGCCUUUUGCUCGACCUAUUUAAGACUUGGUUUGACUUGACUUGUUUAUUAUAAAGGUCAAACUUAAGCUUUUUAAAAAGCUAUUUUAGAUAAAAAUGACAAAGGCAAAUUAUAAAAAAUAAACUUGUUAAGCUUGACAAACCGGCUUGUUAAGCUUGACAAACUGGCUUAUUUAAGUAAUAAUAAUAAUAAUAACUAUUAUCUAUACCAUUUUUAUGGAAUUAUGAAUGACAGGCUGAAGCGACAUAAGGUGCUUAGAGAAUUCACUUGCAUGUGAAAAAUUUUCAAAAGAAAAGAUUCAAGUUAAAGGAUCAAGAAAUCAGAUGAAUACUUCAAAUGAAAAGAAUGUUUUGUAAAAUAUUGUCAGACAAUGUAAAUAGUUUUAUUUGACUAUAGUAAUAUAAAUCAUCGUUAAUCCAAUAUAUUGUUUAAUAUUAUGCUCUCUUUUUUUUCAUUUUCUUGUGAUAUACUUUGUGUUUUAACAACUUGAAUUUAAUAUGAUUUUGUUUAUCAAUUAUUUUUGGAUUUGUACAUUACUUAUAUGAAAUUUUAUAAGUUUUUUUUAGUUAAUAUUUCACUAGGUUUUAGAACAAUUAAUUGGUCAAAGACGUCUUUAAGCAGAUUUUUAAAUAGGCUCGUAGGUAAAAUCAGACUUCAAUGUGAGUCGAGCCGAGCCUUAAAAAAAAUUCUAUGAUAGGUAAUGAGACAAGCUCAAGUCUUGCUUAUUCAACUCAAGCCGAGCUCAAGCCUAAUAAAGCUUGAUUUGCCUUGACUCAUUUUCACUCCUAGUGAGAAUAGGGGUCAACUUCUAAUUUUACUAUAGGCACUUUAAUUAAUAGGGGUGGGUAAGCGGGUUGGCCCGCCCCGCGUAAGGCUAGUCCGCAUAAGCCCGCAUUGGCAGUGGAUCGGGUCAGCCCGCCCCGCAUUCUUACACUGACCAAAUAUAUUGGUCCGCCCCCGCCCCGCGAACCCCGCGAGUCAAACGGGCCAGUCCGUGGGCCUUGUUUUAAAAGAAUUUCAAUUUCAAUAAAAAUGCAACACAAUCAAAUUAAGUUCAAUACAAAUGUAAAUAAAAUCUUAACAAUUAGUCAAUUACAUCAAUAAAAUAAAUAAUGUCUUACAAAAGAAAAUCCAAGCAAUAAAUUUAAAAUAUGAAACUUAAACAUCUCUAACAACAAAUGAUUCUACAUUUAAAGUAAUAUAAUCCUAAUGCGGGCAAUUCGCAGACCCCGUGGGCCAAACUCGCAUAUUCUGCGGGUUAAGUGGGGCGGAUCCAAAAAUAUGACAUCAUCAUGGACCGUUUAAAAAAAUUGAUCCAUUAUCCGCGCGAACCACGGAACCCGGGGGCCAGUCGAUGGACCUGGGCCUGUUUACCCACCCUUAUUAAUUAGCAAGCUAUUAUAUUAUAUUGGUGGAUUAGGACAUCUAUAGUCCAAGGAAUAUAAAAUUUACCUGACUCUUUGUAACUAUGCAUGUGAUCUAUCUAAUGAAUUCCACCUCCUUUUUAUACAUCAUACACAUGCAAUGUUAAUCACUAUGAUAUAAAACAUUUAAAUUAUAUAUUAUUAUUACUAUGAUUUUUUUAAGAUAGAUAUAUUCAAAAUUAAAAAAAUUAUUAUAUUGGAUGGAUAAUGAUUUAAUAAUAUAGUAAAAUUAUUUUAUACUUGUUGGUGUAUAAUCAUUUUUUCUACAAAUAAAUAAAAAUAAUUAUAAUAUAAAACAUUAAUAUACCAUAAAAAUUAAAUAUUAAAAAAGAAAUGUAAAUAAUCAAUUAAAAUAUAUAAAAUUUAUAACAAUUUAUUCAUAUUUGAGAAAUUUUAAAAAUAUGUAUAUAAAUUAUUUUUCAAAUAAAUAUAUUAUUAAUAUACAUAAUUCAAACUAUGAAAAAUAUAUUAUUGAAAUAUUUAAAACACCAAAUACAUUUUAAAAAUUUGAUUUAAAUAAUAUUAAAAUUAAAACAUAACAAUCUCAAAAAAUAUUUUUAUAAAUCAGUCUUUUGUUGGAGAUAAGAAAAUACACUUUAGUUUUUAAUUCUAAAUAUUUAAUAUUGUAUUUGUUUUUUUCCAUACUGUAAUAUAUAAAAAAAUGUAUAAUCUAUUUAAGUUUUAGUAUUUUAUAGUGAAUUUCAAUUUGUUAGUUCUUUACAUAUUAAUUUUCUUUUUCAAAUUUUGUAGUAUCAUAUAUUACCUUUUUAAUAUUUGAAAGACUUGUAAUAUCAAAUAAAAUAAUAUUGCAAUUAAUGUAUAUAUUAACAUAUAAAAAUGAAUAGCAUAGAUAAAAAAAAAAUCAAGUAUGAUCGACAAUGAAAGUUUAAUCAUUGAAAAAGUUGCAUGAUGUCUUCUCGGGUACACCACUCUACUUCUAUAAGUGGUGCAUUGAUUUACUAGAUAAGUUUUUUUUAAGGAAUCCAUUAAAUGUAUUUUUCUCCAAUCCUGAUAUUAUUACAAAGUUGUUUUCACGUGGUGAUUAAUUUUCAAGAUGAUGAGCACAUACAAGAUAAUUUUCAGGAUCAAGAGCACAUACAAAAUAGCUUAUAAGAUUUUAAGUUACACUACAUACAAUUUGGUCAAAUUUUCUUAUAUUGUAAAAAGUUAUAGAUAAAAGUGAUGAUAAUUGUUGUCACCACUACUGAAGAAAGAAGAUUCUAAAUUGGUUAUUUGGAGCAUUCUACAUUGGUUGAGGAUCGUCGUAGUAGACCACAUCGUCAAAAGGGAAACCUAAUCUAGGACGGUCGCAAAGACUAUCUUAAAAAAUGUGUGUUUCUAAUUGCAGUCCCAAACUUUCCAAAAUUUAAUAUAGUGGUCAAAAUCAUGAUCAUUAACUAUUUUUUAAAACGUAGCUACAGAGAAUAAAGUUGUUGCUUAAACAUCUUCACGCCUAUAAAUAGACCCAAAUAAUGUGAGGUUCCAUACUUCAAAAUCCAAAUCUAGCGAUUAAUUAUAGUUUAGGCAGCAAAUUAUGGAUUCCCAUGAUGAGGAGCAUGCUGCCAAACUACUUAGAGCUCAAACCCACAUAUGGAAUCACAUAUUUAGCUUCAUAAACUCCAUGUCCCUUAAAUGUGUGGUUGACUUAGGCAUACCAGAUAUCAUACACAACUAUGGCCAACCCAUGCCACUCUCAAACCUCAUUGCUUCACUACCAAUCCACCCAUCCAAAACUUGCUUUGUCCAUCGCUUGAUGCGAAUCAUGAUCCAUUCUGGCUUCUUCUCUCAACAAAAUCAUGACAUGGAGAAUCAGCUAGAUGCCAAGUAUGUGCUUACCGAUGCAUCUGUACUAUUGCUUAAGAACCAUCCGAUGAGUGUGACACCUUUCUUGCAUGCCAUGCUUGAUCCAAUUUUGACAAAUCCAUGGAAUCAAUUUUCUACUUGGUUCAAAAAUGGUGACACUACACCAUUUGAAACGGCACAUGGGAUGAUGCUUUGGGAUUACGCUGGCGCUGAUCCAAAACAUAAUAACUUGUUCAAUGAUGCCAUGGCAAGUGAUGCUCGAUUUGUCACUAGUUUGGUGAUUGAGAAAUGUAAGGGAAUGUUCAUGGGAUUGGAGUCAUUGGUUGAUGUUGGGGGAGGCACAGGGACCAUGGCAAAAGCCAUUGCUAAAUCAUUCCCUCGGGUGGAAUGCAUUGUGUUUGAUCUACCACAUGUUGUUUCUGGCUUGAAAGGAAGUGAAAACCUUAAAUAUGUUGCAGGGGACAUGUUUGAGGCAAUUCCUCCAGCUGAUGCCAUUCUGUUAAAGGUAAAUCACUAUUCACAUUCAGAAUACAAUUUUACAUUCAUACCAUUAACACCCAGUUUUUAUACUUGAGUGAUGUCAAAUUUUAAAGAAUUAAAGCAAAUAAUUGAUCGAUUGGAAAAAAAAAAUGAACGAUUUUAUCAUCAUUGAUCACUUGAAAUAACUUCAAAUUUUUAUAUGUAUAUUGAUCACUAAGCUAGUAAGCUAGCACCAGCUAGUAGUCCAACUACAUAUCUGCCACUAUCAUACCAAAUCAGACCAACUGAGUGGUCUAUAUGGCUUGUAAUAAUUAGGACUAGUUUAUUAAGUGGUUACGUAAAGUAGCUAGCAUAUGAUUAUUUGACAAGUAAAUCUCUGCUCAUAUUCUAGAAAAAAUAGUUAUAGAUCUCUUCAAAUUUGACUUUUCUUUUUUCUGAAGUAUUGACUAUAUGUUGCGGUUAAAAACGUUACAUGAUGUGCCAAUUCAUUCUACCAAGCUUAAUAUGAAUGCAAGUCAAUAUUUAUUUCUUUUGUAUGAUUCUUAUCGGUGUGUUACUUUGAAUGACAAAGCAGUGGAUAUUGCAUGACUGGAAUGAUAAGGAGUGUGUGGACAUAUUGAAGAAAUGCAAAGAGGCGAUAACGAGGAAAGGCAAAGAAGGGAAGGUGAUCAUCAUAGACAUGGUGGUGGAGAAUGAGAAGAGAGAUGAUGAAUCAGUUGAAACACAGCUCUUCUUUGAUAUGCUGAUGAUGGUGUUGGUCACUGGAAAAGAGAGAAGCAAGAAAGAAUGGGCUAAGUUGAUUUCCUCUGCUGGUUAUAACAACUACAAGAUAACUCCAGUCUUGGGCUUAAGGUCUCUCAUUGAGAUCUAUCCAUAGUAAGUUAAUGAGAUGUGCCAGCACUCUAUCAUUCAUAUAUGUAAGGGCUAUAAUUUUUCUGUUUCGAUUCAUGAGUGAAUGUUGGAUAAGUAACAAUAGCAAUAGACUGAACUCUCUUCAUCAUAGUUGUGUUGUUGGAACAGUACUGUCAAGAAAGGAAAAAAAAAAAAUCUGAGGAUAAGUAUAGUUUGCGUGGUAUAUAUAGCAGGUGAAGAAGAAAAGGAACACGUGGUUAAAGAGCACAGUGAGAGUUUAGCAAUUACUCUUUUUUUGGUAACUGAAUUUGCCUUGUAUUAGAUUUGUGAAGAACUAAGUUUGUGAGAGUUGUAUUAAAUAAAAUAAGAUUAAUUGAAAUUUAUUUGUAAUUGAAGUCAAGACACAUAUAUAUUUUUUUGCUUGCAUUCGAAAUCAAAGAAAGCAAGUUCAUCUAAAAACUUAAUGAAAAUGGUUGGAGGUAGACAGCGGUGAAUGCACAUAUAAGCUUGUUCUCACAGUAUAAAUUUUUAUACUUGAAUAUAAUACUCCUAUUCAUGUGGGCAUAGAUGCAAAAGUUUGAGAUGAGGAAGGUCACAAGCUUGGAUAGGUUUGGAAGAUAAAUGAUUUGUGAUAAUAUAUAAAUGCUAAAUUAAAACGUAUUAUUGGAAGACAGUUGAAGGAUUGGCGUUAGUGUAGUUAGUGCGGUGGGAAUAAAUGCUAUUAUUGGAGGACGGUCAUACGUGGAGCUAGUUAUUGCGGUGGGAAUAAAUGCUAAAUUAAAACAUAUUAUUGGAAGGCAGAUUGACUCGUAGAAGUUAUUGUUGUGGGAAUAAAUGCUAUUAUUGGAGGACGGUUGAAGAAUUGGUGUACGUGGGGUUAGUUAUUGCGGUGGGAAUAAAUGCUAAAUUAAAAUAUAUUAUUGAUAGACACUUGAAGGAUUGGCGUCAGAGUAGUUAGUGCGGUGGGAAUAAAUGUUAUUAUUCUCAUCUUAAUAAUAAUGUCAUGCCAACAAUGAAAUUAAUGAGACUAAAAUAAAAUAAAAAGAAUUUUAUGGAGACAUAAAAUACAUAAAAUAAAUAUUAUAGAAACUAAAAAUGAAAAGAAAUUAUAAGAAUUAAAAAAAAGAAUUUGCUUAUGUCUUCAAAGGUCACUUAAAGUUGUUUAUAUUUUUUAUUUUAAAUAUUGGGUUGCACAAAAGAAAUGAUCAUUGUAUUCAUGUUAAGAAUAAAUAAAGCAAAAUAUAAUGACCAAAAAUUAUACCAAAUUAAAUUCUAUUUUUUUUUCUUUUGGAUGAAGUAUGAAUAUAAAAUUAAGAGACAACAAAGUUUAAGACAUCACGAAAGAGUUUUUCAUAAAUUUCUCUAUAAUGACUUCAAGAUAAAAAUCUCAUCUUUGGCUUCAAAACACUUGAACACAUAUCCUAAUUAGCUAAAGUAUCAAUCAUAUGAUUAGAAUCAUGUGACAUAAUUGCAAGUAACAAAGUUCAAAUAUUUCUCACUAACGCUAUCAAAUAAAAUAAGAUUAAUUGAAAUUAAUUUGUAUUUGAAGUCAAGACACAUAUAUUUUUUUGCUUGCAUUCGAAAUUAAAGAAAGCAAGUUCAUCUAAACGCUUAAUGAAAAUGGUUGGAGGUAGACAGAGGUGAAUGCACAUAUAAGCUUGUUCUCACAGGAUAAAUUUUUAUACUUGAAUAUAAUACUCCUAUUCAUGUGGGCAUAGAUGCAAAAGUUUGAGAUGAGGAAGGUCACAAGCUUGGAUAGGUUUGGAAGAUAAAUGGUUUGUGAGAAUAUAUAAAUGUUAAAUUAAAACAUAUUAUUGAAAGACAGUUGAAGGAUUGGCAUCAGAGUAGUUAGUGCGGAGGGAAUAAAUGCUAUUAUUGGAGGACGGUUGAAGGAUUAGCGUAUGUGGGGCUAGUUAUUUCGGUGGGAAUAAAUGUUAAAUUAAAACAUAUUAUUGGUGGAAAUUUGGGAUGGAAAUGAGCCACGCCGCUUGUCAAGGGUCUUUGGCUCGACAUAUUUAAGACUUGGCUUGGCUUGGCUUGUUUACUAUAAAGGCCAAGCUCAAGCUUUGUAAAAAACUUUUUUAGAUGAAAAGGCCAAAGGCAAAUUAUAAAAAAAACUUCUUAAGCUUGACAAACCGUCUUGUUAAGCUUGACAAACUGGCUUGUUUAAGUAAUAAUAAUAAUAUUAAUAAUAAUAAAAACUAUUAUCUAUAUCAUUUUUAUAGAAUUAUGAAUGACAGGAUGAAGUGACAUAAAGUGCUUACAGAAUUCACUUGCAUGUGAAAAAAUUUUAAAAAGAAAAAGACUCAACUUAAAAGGAUAAAGCAAUCAGAUGAAUACUUCCAAAGAAAAGAAUGUUUUCUAAAAACAUUUUCAGACAAUUUAUAUAUUUUUAUUUGAUUAAAUUAAUAUAAAUCAUCUCUAAUCCAUAUAUUUUUUUAAUAUUAUGCUCUCUUUUUUUUCAUUUUCUUUUGAUAUACUUUGUGUUUUAACAACUUGAAUUCAAUAUGAUUUUGUUUAUCAAUUAUUUUUGGAUUUGUACAUUACUUAUACGAAAUUUUAUAAGUUUCUUUUUUUAGUUAAUAUUUCACUAGGUUUUAGAACAAUUAAUUGUUCAAAGACGUCUUUAAGCAGAUUUUUAAAUAGGCACGUAGGCGAAAUCAGGCUUUUAUGUGAGCCGAGCCGAGCCUUUAAAAAAAUCCUAUGACAGGUAAUGAGCCAAGCUCAAACCUUGCGUAUUCAACUCAAUUCGAGCUCAAGCCUAGUAAAGCUUAAUUUGGCUUAACUCAUUUUCACCCCUAAUGGGAAUAGGGGUCAACUUCUAAUUUUACUACAGGCACUUUAAUUAAUAGGGGUGGGUAAGUGGGCUGGCUCGCCCCGCAUAAGCCCGCAUUGGCAGUGGACCGGGCCAGCUCACCCCGCAUUCUUACACGGACCAAAUAAAUUGGUCCGCCCCCGCCCCGCGGAUCCUGCGGGUCAAACGGGCCAGUCCGUGGCCCUAGUUUUAAUAGAAUUUCAAUUUUAAUAAAAAAUACAACACAAUCAAAUUAAGUUCAAUAUAAAUGUAAAUAAAAUCUUAACAAUUAGUCAAUUACAUAAAUAAAAUAAAUAAUGCCUUAGCAAAAGAAAAUCCAAACAAUAAAUUUAAAAUAUGAAACUUAAACAUCUCUAACAACAAAUGAUUCCAUAUUUGAAGCAAUAAAAUCUUAAUGCGGGCAACCAGAAGAUCCCGCGGGCCAAACUCACAUAGUCUGCGGGUUAAGUGGGGCAGACCCAAAAAUAUGACAUAAUCAUGGACCAUUUUAAAAAAUUGAUCCGUUACCCAAGCGAAUCGCAAGCCCCGCGGACCAGUCAAUGAACCUAGGCCCGUUUACCCACUCCUAUUAAUUAGCAUGCUAUUAUAUUAUAUUGGUGGAUUAGGACAUCUAUAGUCCCAGGAAUAUAAAAUUUACCUGACUCUUUGUAACUAUUAGGGGUGGGUAAACGGGCUCAGGUCCAUGUAUUGACCCACGGGGCCCGCGGUCUAUGAUUAUGUCAUAUUUUUUGGCCCACCUCGCUUAACCCGUGGACUAUGCGGGUUUGGCCUGCGGGGUCCGCGGGUUGUCCGUAGCCCGCAUUAGGUUUAAUUUGUGUGAUCCUGACCCAAUUAUAUUAGGUUUGAUUUUCUCUUUUUCAAUUUAAACUUUUCUUUUAAAAUAACAGAUAAAGAAAUAUAUUAGAUAUGAUAAAGAUAUAAAGAUAAAAAUAAAAGAUUUAAAUUGAAAGAUGAUAAAGAUAAAAAAAGGAUAAGAUAACAAAAAUAAAAGAUUAAGAUAAAAAAGAUAAGUGAUAACUUGCUAAAAAUCUUUUUUUUAUAUUUUAUCAAUCUUUUUCUCUUUUAAUCUAUCAUUUUCAUAUCUGAAAGUCAUAAAUAAUAAAAAUAUCAAUUCUUAUCAUUUAAGCCAAAAAUAAUUGUUAAAUAAAUAUUUUUAAAGAUAUUUCAAUAUAUGUUUAUUGUAAAAAAUAACUCAUAUCAUAUUUAGUAGUUGUAGCAGGCUAAAAACAUUUUUUCUCCUCACGUGUGCUUAACAAAUAUCGAACUAGGCUUCUUGUUGACAACAUACAAGCCUUGAUAUAUACUAAAAAUUGGUUACUAGUAUUUGAUAUGCAGGGUAAAUAAUAUGUAAUAAUUAUUGUCUUUUAAUCACUUAGCUUGACUUUAUUCUAAUAUUUUAUUAUUUUGAGUUUUAGGAAAAGAAGAUGAAGAUAUGGAGAUGGAGAAGGCUCAAGCUACUUCAAAUAUGAAAUCAUUUGUUGUUGGAGAUGUUUAAAUUUCAUAUUUUAGAUUUAUUGCUUCGAUUUCUUUGUUAAGACAUUAUUUAUUUUAUUGAUAUAAUUGACUAAUUAUUGAGAUUUUAUUUAUCUUUGUAUUGAACUUAAUUUGAUUGUAUUAUAUUUUUAUUAAAAUUAAAAUUCUUUUAAAAUUAGGCUCGCGGACUGGCUCGUUUGACCCGCGGGAUCCGUGGGGCGGGGGCGGACCAAUUUAUUUCGUCUGUGUAAGAAGCGGGGCGGAUUGGCCCGAUCCGCUACCAAUGCGGGCUCAUGCGGACGGGCCUUACACGGGGCAUGCCGGUCCGCUUACCCACCCCUAGUAACUAUGCACGUGAUCUAUCUAAUGAAUUCCACCUCCUUUUUAUACAUCAUACACAUGCAAUGUUAAUCACUAUAAUAUAAAACAAUUUAAUUAUAUAUUAUUAUUACUAUGAUUUUUUUAAGAUAGUUAUAUUCAAUAUUUAUAUAAUUAUUAUAUAGGAUGGAUAAUGAUUUAAUAAUAUUAUAAAAUUAUUUUACAUUUGUUUGUGUAUAAUCUUGUUUUCUACAAAUAAAUAAAAAUAAUAAUAAAAUAAAACAUUAAUAUACCAUAAAAAAUAAAUAUUAAAAAAGAAAUGUAAAUAAUCAAUUAAAAUAUAUAAAUUUUAUAACAAUUUAUUCAUAUUUAAGUAAUUUUUAAAAUAUGUAUAUAAAUUAUUUUUCAAAUAAAUAUAUUAUUAAUAUACAUAAUUCAAACUAUGAAAAAUAUAUUAUUGAAAUAUUUAAAACACCAAAUACAUUUUAAAAAUUUGAUUUAAAUAAUAUUAAAAUUAAAACAUAACAAUCCCAGAAAAUAUUUUUAUAAAUCAGUAUUUUGUUGGAGAUAAGAAAAUACACUUUCGUUUUUAAUUCUAAAUAUUUUAUAAUGUAUUGUUGUUUUUCCAUACUGUAAUAUAUAAAAAAGAUGUAUAAUCUAUUUAAGUUUUAGUAUUUUAUACUGAAUUUCAAUUUGUUAGUUCUUUACAUAUUAAUUUUAUUUUUCAAAUUUUGUAGUAUCAUAUAUUACCUUUUUAAUAUUUGAAAGACUUGUAAUAUCAAAUAAAAUAAUAUUGCAAUUAAUGUAUAUAUUAACAUAUAAAAAUGUAUAGCAUAGAUAAAAAAAAAAAAAAAAUCAAACAUGAUCGACAAUGAAAGUUUAAAUAUUGAACAAGUUGUAUGAUGUCUUCUCGGGUACACCACUCUACUUCUCUAAGUGGUGCAUUGAUUUACUAGAUAAUUUUUUUUAAGGAAUCCAUUAAAUAUAUUUUUCUCCAAUCAUGAUAUUAUUACAAAGUUGUUUUUACGUGGUGAUUGAUUUUCAAGAUGGUGAGCACAUACAAGAUAAUUUUGAGGAUCCAAAGCACCUACAAAAUAGCUGAUAAGGUUUUAAGUUAUACUACAUACAAUUUGGUUAAAUUUUCUUAUAUUGUAAAAAAAUUAUAGAUAAAAGUGGUCACAAUUAUUGUCACCCCUACUGGAGAAAGAAGAUUCUAAAUCAAUUAUUUGGAGCGUUCUACAUAGUGGCCAAAAUCAUGAUCACCAACUAUUUUUUAAAACCUAGCUACAGAGGAUAAAGUCGUUGCUUAAACAUCAUCUCGCCUAUAAAUAGACCCAAAUAAUUUGAGGUUCCAUACUUCAAAAUCCAAAUCUAGCGAUUAAUUAUAGUUUAGGCAGCAAAUUAUGGAAUCCCAUGAUGAGGAGCAUGCUGCCAAACUACUUAGAGCUCAAACCCACAUAUGGAAUCACAUAUUUAGCUUCAUAAACUCCAUGUCCCUUAAAUGUGUGGUUGACUUAGGCAUACCAGAUAUCAUACACAACUAUGGCCAACCCAUGCCACUCUCAAACCUCAUUGCUUCACUACCAAUCCACCCAUCCAAAACUUGCUUCGUCCAUUGCUUGAUGCGAAUCAUGAUCCAUUCUGGCUUCUUCUCUCAACAAAACCAUGACUUGGAGAAUGAGCUAGAAGCCAAGUAUGUGCUAACCGAUGCAUCUGUACUAUUGCUUAAGAACCAUCCGCUGAGUGUGACACCUUUCUUGCAUGCCAUGCUUGAUCCAGUUUUGACAAAUCCAUGGAAUCAAUUUUCUACUUGGUUCAAAAAUGGUGACCCUACACCAUUUGAAACGGCACAUGGGAAGAUGUUUUGGGAUUAUGCUGGCGCUGAUCCGAAACUUAAUC